UACGUAGGGGGCAAGCGUUGUCCGGAUUUAUUGGGCGUAAAGAGCGUGUAGGCGGCCAGACAGGUCCGUUGUGAAAACUCGAGGCUCAACCUCGAGACGCCGAUGGAAACCGUUUGGCUAGAGUCCGGAAGAGGAGAGUGGAAUUCCUGGUGUAGCGGUGAAAUGCGCAGAUAUCAGGAAGAACACCCGUGGCUAAGGCGGCUUUCUAGUACGGUACUGACGCUGAGACGCGAAAGCGUGGGGAGCGAACAGG
rnacentral:rRNA from 1 species